ACGAGAUUUAUAUAUAUUAAGAUAUUACUUAUACUUUUUUCUUCUUCUUAAGGUGCCGUCUCCUUGCGAAGGUUGGCAAUCAUUAGGGCGAUUUCAACUUUUGAGACCGCUGCUCUAAAAAGUGAUCUUGUGCUCUUCCCGAACCACUGGCGCAAGUUCUUUAGCCACGAUAUCCUUCUGCGGCCAGGCCUCCUUCUGCCUGCUACUUUCAGCUGAAUGAUAAGUUGAAGGAGUUCAUAUUUUUUGGUGUUGCGCAUCACGUGUCCAAAAUAUUCCAAUUUCCUCCUCUUUAUGGUUGUAAGUAUCUCUGUGGCCUUCCCCAUUCUUUGUAGCACGGUGGUGUUUCGUACGCGGUCCCUCCAAGAAAUUCUUAGCAUACGUCUGUACACCCACAUCUCGAACGCUUCCAGUUUUUUAGACAUGGCUCCUGUCAGCGUCCAAGCUUCCACACCAUAGAGAAGUACAGAAAAGACAUAGCACCGCGCCAUGCGUGUU
rnacentral:misc_RNA from 1 species